rnacentral:rRNA from 1 species
GACGAACGCUGGCGGCGUGCUUAACACAUGCCAGUCGAACGGUGAAGCGCCUUCCUUUUUGGUGGGUGUGGAUGAGUGGCGCACGGGUGAGUAACACGUGAGUAACCUGCCCCCUUCUUCUGGAUAACCGCAUGAAAGUGUGGCUAAUACGGGAUAUUCUGGGUCUGUCGCAUGAUGGGUCUGGGAAAGAUAUUGUUUCGGUGGGGGAUGGGCUCGCGGCCUAUCAGCUUGUUGGUGGGGUGAUGGCCUACCAAGGCGGUGACGGGUAGCCGGCCUGAGAGGGUGGACGGUCACACUGGGACUGAGACACGGCCCAGACUCCUACGGGAGGCAGCAGUGGGGAAUAUUGCACAAUGGGCGCAAGCCUGAUGCAGCGACGCCGCGUGAGGGAUGGAGGCCUGCGGGUUGUGAACCUCUUUCGCCAGUGAAGCAGGCCUGCCUCGUUUGUGGGUGGGUUGACGGUAGCUGGAUAAGAAGCGCCGGCUAACUACGUG